rnacentral:rRNA from 1 species
CGGCAACAGCUCAAAUUUGAAAUCUGGCUCUUUCAGGGUCCGAGUUGUAAUUUGUAGAGGGUGCUUUGGCGUCGGCCGUGGUCUAAGUUCCUUGGAACAGGACGUCACAGAGGGUGAGAACCCCGUACGUGGCCGCUGGCCUUCGCCGUGUAAAGCCCCUUCGAC